AGCUUUGUGCAGUGCAGUAUUGUAGUCAAUGAAGUUUAUCCGAGACAUGAUUAUUGUUAAUUAAAAACUUAGGAAGUAUACCUGAGGGGAAGGGGGUCAACUGGGCAUCUUUCUGGGGACACAGAACUGGUUGUAACCAUUUUUUAAAAGAUUUCAUUUUU
rnacentral:snRNA from 1 species